rnacentral:rRNA from 1 species
AGUGAACGCUGGCGGUAGGCCUAACACAUGCAAGUCGAACGGCAGCACAGUAAGAGCUUGCUCUUACGGGUGGCGAGUGGCGGACGGGUGAGGAAUACAUCGGAAUCUACUUUUUCGUGGGGGAUAACGUAGGGAAACUUACGCUAAUACCGCAUACGCCCUACGGGUGAAAGCAGGGGAUCUUCGGACCUUGCGCGAUUGAAUGAGCCGAUGUCGGAUUAGUUAGUUGGCGGGGUAAAGGCCCACCAAGGCGACGAUCCGUAGCUGGUCUGAGAGGAGGAUAAGCCACACUGGAACUGGGACACGGUCCAGACUCCUACGGGAGGCAGCAGUGGGGAAUAUUGGGCAAUGGGCGCAAGCCUGAUCCAGCCAGACCGCGUGUGUGAAGAAGGCCUUCGGGUUGUAAAGCCCUUUUGUUGGGAAAGAAAAGCAGCAGGUUAAUACCCCGCUGUUCUGACGGUACCCAAAGAAUAAGCACCGGCUAACUUCGUG